rnacentral:rRNA from 1 species
GAUGAACGCUGGCGGCGUGCCUAAUACAUGCAAGUCGAGCGAACAGACGAGGAGCUUGCUCCUCUGACGUUAGCGGCGGACGGGUGAGUAACACGUGGAUAACCUACCUAUAAGACUGGGAUAACUUCGGGAAACCGGAGCUAAUACCGGAUAAUAUAUUGAACCGCAUGGUUCAAUAGUGAAAGACGGUUUUGCUGUCACUUAUAGAUGGAUCCGCGCCGCAUUAGCUAGUUGGUAAGGUAACGGCUUACCAAGGCAACGAUGCGUAGACGACCUGAGAGGGUGAUCGGCCACACUGGAACUGAGACACGGUCCAGACUCCUACGGGAGGCAGCAGUAGGGAAUCUUCCGCAAUGGGCGAAAGCCUGACGGAGCAACGCCGCGUGAGUGAUGAAGGUCUUCGGAUCGUAAAACUCUGUUAUUAGGGAAGAACAAAUGUGUAAGUAACUAUGCACGUCUUGACGGUACCUAAUCAGAAAGCCACGGCUAACUACGUG